ensembl:lncRNA
GAGAUAAGUAGCAAGUAUAAAUCUUGUUACUUCCUAACAGUCUCAAAAUACGUAAGUCAAAAGUUGGAACAACUUUGAGAUAAAUUUGUAAUCAAAAUAGGACCAUGGUUGUAUAUAAUCUUUGGCAUGCUGCAUAUAACCACAUAAGCAUACAGUGUACUCCACUGCACUCUUCACCAGCUGACAGAGCAAACACAAAUGCAGGCAGACACACAUUUUGAUGAAGCAACUGGAGCUGAAACACAUGUAGAAAACCGUCUGAGAACCAGAGACUCCAGCUCAUUACUUCACGUGCACAUCUACCGAGCACACGGCGCGCCUCAGCACUCAGGGUGGGACUCACGGCGUGCCCUCAGACCUCGGCACAAACCACAAGUCAGUGUGUAACUAGAAGACUUCUCAUAUGCUUGUAACUUAGGAAAUAUGCUUCUAUAUACCCCUGUGACUAAGAAUAAUGGAAAUCAGAAAAUAUUUUGAACAAUAAAACAGGCUUCCCUGAUGGCUCAGCUGGUAAAGAAUCCACCUGCAAUGCGAGAGACCUGGAUUCGAUCCCUGGGUGGGGAAGAUCCCCUGGAGAAGGGAAAGGCUACUCCAGUAUUCUGGCCUGGAGAAGUCCAUGGACUGUGCAGUCCAAGAGGUCACAAAGAGUCAGGCAGGACUAAGCGACUUCCAAACCAUAAAAUAAUUACCAGAACUUAAGGGGAAUGUAGGUUCUUACAGGAUGGAUAUUAGAAGACAGGUGGGAUUACUGAGCUAAACACCCAUCUUUAAAAACGUCCAGAAGUCACAGGAAAGCAACCCCAAGAAAAUAUAAGAAAGUAAACAAAUAGGGAAAAAAAAUUAAGGAAAGAGAAAAGGGAAGCUGGACCCCCUGGAGAGGAUCCACGAGGCAGAGGCGCGCCUGUCGGCUCAGCCAGCCCCCGGAGACGCAAACAAGCGUAAGACUCGGCACAGGUGCUGCGGUCGGCUCAAGUCAACAGAGGUGAAGGCCUGAACCACACGAUGAUUCCUGGAAAAAAGCUUAAAAAUAUGACUCCAGAAGAACUAGAAAAGCUGAAUAAUCCUGUCAACACAAAUCAAGUCACUGGUAAAAAUUCUCCUCCUCCAAUACACACCCUGGUAGCAAAGAACGUCCCUGGAGAAGUCGACUGCACCUCCAGAGAGGGCUCAUUCCAACCUGCUGAGAACGCUUCCCGGGAAGAGAAAGAGGAAGCACCUUCCCACCAUUUCACGUGGCUACCUGACCUCAAACCCCUGUCUGGGGGUCCGCACUUUCACUGCUGGGGCUCAGGUUCCGUCCGUGGUUGGGGAACAGACCUCGCAAGUCCUGCGGCAGAGCCAGAAAAGAAAAACAAGAACGGAAUCCACUAAGCUUCUUCAAAGAAACCAAGAUGCAAACAUCCUAUGCAAUACUGACCGGACGGGACCCAGCACUACAGCUGGGGGUCUCAUCACAAGAACAACAUUGGAAACAUUUACCACAGUUGUUCCAUUUAUCUGAAUGGAUGGAAAAAAGUUUGGAAAAAUUUAACAUCCAUUCACAAUUUAAAAAACAUUCCAUGCAAACUAAGAUUGUGAAGAGAACUGUUUUGAGGCAUGGACCAAAACAUCAUACACAAUGUUACAAGUUGGAAAGUGUCCUUUGAGAUGCGGACUAAACCAGGAGGCCUCUACACCCUCAUGCAGCCUCCCAGGAGCCCCAGCCAGCUCCACAAGGCCAGGAGAAAAGCCUCCUAAGUGAAACCAUGCUGGCACACAGCAGUGUAACAACAGAGUAUCUGUGAGCAGACUCAAGACCCGAAACACCUUGUACACAAUUCUGAGGGGUAAAAACACAGCCCUACAUCCAUAAAGAAGGCUGAGCGCCAAAGAAUUGAUGCUUUUGAACUGUGGUGUUGGAGAACACUCUUGAGAGUCCCUUGGACUGCAAGGAGAUCCAACCAGUCCAUUCUGAAGGAGAUAAGUCCUGAAUAUUCAUUGGAAGGACUGAUGCUGAAGCUGAAACUGCAAUACUUCGGCCACCUGACGCGAACAGCUGACUCAUUUGAAAAGACUCUGAUGCUGAUUGAAGGCGGGAGGAGAAGGGGACGCCAGAGGAUGAGAUGGCUGGAUGGCAUCACCGACUUGAUGGGCAUGAGUUUGAGUGAACUCCGGGAGUUGGUGAUGGACAGGGAGGCCUGGCGUGCUGCAGUCCAUGGAGUCGCAGUCAGACACGACUGAGCGCCUGAACUGAACAUCCAUGGGGAGCUACACCAUGACCAGGACUGGAGAUUCCGUGAAUAUGAAUCUUCCUCAAAGUCACUGUUGAAUACAAUUCAAGUCACAGCAUAGGAAGCACUGUACACACGGCAUAGGAAACGUGUGUGUGUCCACCCGCGAGUGCAAAUGAGCCAGGGAGCCGGCGGGACAGAGAGAUCGGGUCUGGAAGUGUCUGCGGGGGACGGAGGCUUCCUUGACCCUCUCAGGGUCCCUGGUGGGGUCUGAAAAGGAAGCAGUAACCGGAGUGGGAAGCAUUUACACCUUUCAGACCAGGACUCGCCCUGGUGGCUCAACUUCAGAGCCCUGGGCCCCUUUCGAGGCAGAAGCACCAGUGACCUGGGCAGAGACCACCGGACGGCCUUCACCAAGCCCUGCCUUUAAACAGGCGACUGCACGGCAGCCCACCCGUCUUCUUGCCUGGAGAAUCCCAAGGACAGAGAUCGCCUCCCGCAUACUGCCAGCCCCCCGGAGGCCCCUUCCCCUGGAGCGCCAGGCCCCGUCCAUCCUCGGUGCCCACGGUCACCCUUCAAAGGCCGGCGUGCCUCCAGCCCACGUGUUCUGCCAUCUGUCCUGCCCUCCCUCCUCGCUGACCCCUGGGGAACCCAGCGGAGCAGGGGCCCAGCCUGGAUCUUGGUCACAGAGAAGCGUGUUGUGAUUUAACUGGGAUUUUGGGCUGGGCAUCCCCGAGGCCCACUUCUCCAGCCACCAGUACAGCGCGCUCUUCGAGGAGACCUGCUGACAGGUCAGGACCCAUCUUAGCACUUGAAGAGCAAACACACCACCGGCCUCACUGCUGUGGCUGCUGUGUCCCUGGGUUUGGGGAGCAGCCACCAUCCUCCUAAGAUGCUAGUGUGGGGUAAGUUUUUAGAGCAAAAAUAACAUUCUGGAUUCCAG